rnacentral:rRNA from 1 species
GUCAUCCCCAACCUCUCGUGCCGUGGACGCCGCUGGUCCGUCUAGCGUGUGGAUGCCGCGCUGUCGGCCAUCCCACGGUCGAGGGGAUGGAUAAGAGCAAGCCCUCGACGCUCUCCCUCUCGCCGAAACCCUAGGCCCUCAGUUUUCCCCUCCCUCACAUCUCACACACGAUCUCGAGCUCGCUAGAGCGGAACCGUGGCCGCAUCAUCAUCAACCUCGAGCGUCGUAGCGUCCCCGAGCCUCGAGAGGAGGUCCGAAGGAUGCUGCUCCUUCGUCUUCUUCGACCACGAACAUGGGUUCGUCUGGAGAUGCAACACACCGACGGAUCGGUCUUCAUCUUCCCCGUCGGCCGCCGCACAACCUCGCCUCGAUUCGUCGCCUCCGGAGCUUCCCCGGUGGUCUCGCGCUCGCCAAUCACCUCCUGACACCGAGAUCGACGCCGCUGCUACCCAGUACGACUACGGUGUUGAUGACCCCUCUCUCUUGCCAGAGCAACCAGACGUUGGAGCCCAGGAGCCAGACGCCACCAUUGACGACGAUUCCUACUACAUUGGAGGUGCCUACUACUACGUGCAGCCCGCUGACGACGACCAGGAGUAGUUUAGGAGGAUCCCAGGCAUGAGGCCUGCGCCUCUUUCGAUCUGUAUCCCAGUUUGUGCUAGCCUUCUUAAGGCAGACUUGUUUAACUUAUGUCUGUACUCAGAUAUUGUUGCUUCCGCUGACUCGUCUAUGAUCGAGCUCUUGUAUUCGAGCCCUCGAGGCACCUAGCUUGUAAUAUGAUGCUUGUAUGACUUAUUAUAUUCGUAGAGUUAUGUUGUGAUAUCUUCCCGUGAGUCCCUGAUCUUGAUCGUACACGUUUGCGUGUAUGAUUAAUGUACGAUUGAAUCAGGGACGUCACAUGAGGGAAAUUUGCUACUGUCCUACAAACCUCUACACUUGGAGGCCCAACAACGUCUACAAGAAGAAGGUUGUGUAGUAGACAUCAGUAAUUUGUUCACCCACCUUAAUAUAUGCUAUCAUGAGAGAAGCCACUAGUGAAACCUAUGGCCCCAGGUCUACUUUACAUCAUAUAAGUUUCCGAUCUAUAAUUCUAGUUUACUAUUUAUUUUGCAAUCUUUAUUUUCCAAUCUAUACAACAAAAAUAUCAAAAAUAUUUAUCUUAUUAUCUUUAUCAGAUCUCACUUUUGCAAGUGGCCGUGAAGGGAUUUACAACCCCUUUAUCAUGUUGGUUGCAAGCUCUUGAUUGUUUGUGCAGGUACUAGGCGACUUGCAUGUAGUCUCCCACUGGAUUGAUACCUUGGUUCUCAAAAACUGAGGGAAAUACUUACGCUACUUUGCUGCAUCACCCUUUCCUCUUCAAGGAAAACCAAUGCAUGCUCAAGAGGUAGAAAGAAGGAUUUCCGGUGCCGUUGCUAGGAGAUAUACGCUCAAGUCAAGACAUACCAAGUACCCAUGACAAACUCUUCUCCCUCGCAUUACAUUAUUUGCCAUUUGCCUCUCGUUUUUCUCUCCCCCACUUCACCUUUGUCGUUUUAUUUUUCCUUUUCCAUUCGCCUCUUUUCGCUUGCCUCUUGUGUGCCUAUUUUCCUGAUGGCCUUGCCUAAAAGCGUUGAUCCUCACCUUAGAAGGUUGGAAGAAAUUGAAAACAACAUUAGAAGCUUUAUGUCUUUGCAAUUUGAGCAUAAUAAUUUCUUCAGAAACGAGCUUAAAGAACAAAAAUGUUUUAUGAAGUACAUGAAUAAAUAGCUCGAUGAUAUGUCUAAAGAAUUUUAUGGUUUGAAAUCUCAGUUUGCUCAUCUUAAAAAUUUAGUGGGUCAAAUUUCGGAUAAGCAAGCCACCUUAGUUAAUAAGAUUGCCGCUAAACGGGAGGAUCUACAUGAUAAUAAAGAUGUAGAUCUAAUAGUGAUUGAUGUGUCUCCUAUUAAAUCUUUGUUUUCCAUUAUGAAUCUUGAUAAAGAAGGGACUCGAGAUGAGUCAACUUUAGUUAAAAGGCGUCUCAAUUAUUCGGAGUUUUUAGAUCUUGAUGCUAAAAUUAAUAAAAGUGGGAUUGAAGAGGUCAAAACUUUAUAUAGCAAUGAACCCACUAUUUUGGAUUUCAAGGAAUUUAAUUAUGAUAAUUUCUCUUUGAUAGAUUGUAUUUCCUUGUUGCAAUCCGUGUUAAAUUCUCCUCAUGCUUAUGAUCAAAAUAAGACUUUUACUAAACAUAUCGUUGAUGCUUUAAUGCAAUCUUAUGAAGAAAAGCUUGAACUAGAAGUUUCUGUUCCUAGAAAACUUUAUGAUGAGUGGGAACCUACCAUUAAAAUUAAGAUCAAAGAUCACGAAAGCUAUCCUUUAUGUGAUUUGGGUGCUAGUGUUUUCACGAUUCCAAAAUCUUUGUGUGAUGUGUUAGGUUUCCGUGAAUUUGAUGAUUAUUCUUUAAAUUUGCACCUUGCAGAUUCCACCAUUAAGAAACCUAUGGGAAGAAUUAAUGAUGUUCUUAUUAUUGCAAAUAGGAAUUAUGUGCCCGUAGAUUUCAUUGUUCUUGAUAUAUAUUGCAAUUCUACAUGUUCUAUUAUUCUUGAUAGACCUUUCCUUAGAACGAUUGGUGCAAUUAUUAACAUGAAAGAAGGAAAUAUUAGCUUGCAAUUUCCGUUGAGGAAAAGCAUGAAACACUUUCCUAGAAGGAAAUUAAAUUACCUUAUGAAUCUAUUAUGAGAGCCACUUAUGGAUUGCAUACCAAAGAUGACAAUACUUAGAUCUAGUCUUGGUUUUAUGCCUAGUUAGGGGCGUUAAACGAUAGCGCUUGUUGGGAGGCAACCCAAUUUUAUUUUUUUCCUGUUUAGUAAUAAAUAAUUCAUCUAUCCUAUGUUAUGAUUGUGUUUUUUAUGUUUUAAUUAGUGUUUGUGCCAAGUAAAGCCUUUAGGAUCUUCUUGGGUGAUUGUUGUUUGAUCUUGGUGAAAAAAACAGAAAGUAUGCGCUCACGAGAAUAGUUUUCGUUUGUUACCAGAUAGUGAUAAAAUACCAAUUCCAACUGCAGUUGAUCAAUAUACAAAUUAUUUAGGUCAUCCUAAUUUUUCAGAAUUUUUCGAGUUACAGAAGUAUUUGAAACCUCCAGAUUGCUACAGACUGUUCUGUUUUUGACAAAUUAUGUUUUUCGUGUGUUGUUUGCUUAUUUUGAUAAAUCUGUGGCUAGUAUCGGGGGGUAUGAACCAUAAAAAAGUUUGAAUACAGUAGGUUUAACACCAAUAUAAGUAAAUAAUGAGUUCAUUACAAUACCUUAAAGUGGUGAUUUAUUUUCUUAUACUAACGGAGCUCAUGAGAUUUUUUGUUUAAGUUUUGUGUUGUGAAGUUUUGAAGUUUUUGGUAAAGAUUUAAUGGAUUUUGGAAUAAGGAGUGGCAAGAGCCUAAGCUUGGGGAUGCCCAAGGCACCCCAAGGUAAAAUUCAAGGACAACCAAAAGCCUAAGCUUGGGGAUGCCCCGAAAGGCAUCCCCUCUUUCGUCUUCGUCUAUCGGUAACUUUACUUGAGGCUAUAUUUUUAUUCACCACAUGAUAUGUGUUUUGCUUGGAGCGUCUUGUAUGGUUUGAGUCUUUGCUCUUUAUUUUACCACAAUCAUCUUUGCUGUACACACCUUUUGGGAGAGACACACAUGAAUCAAAGUUUAUUAGAAUACUCUAUGUGCUUCACUUAUAUCUUUUGAGCUAGAAAAUUUUGCUCUAGUGCUUCAUUUAUAUCUUUUUAGAGCACGGUGGUGGUUUUAUUUCAUAGAAAUUAUUGAUCUCUCAUGCUUCACUUAUAUUAUUUUGAGAGUCUUUUAGAACAGCUUGGUAAUUUUAUUUUGCUAUAAAAUUAGUCCUAAUAUGAUAGGCAUCCAAGAUGGAUAUAAUAAAAACUUCCAUAUAGAGUGCAUUGAAUACUAUGAGAAGUUUGGUACUUGAUGAUUGUUUUGAGAUAUGAAGAUGGUGAUAUUAGAGUCAUGCUAGUUAAGUAAUUGUGAAAUUGAUAAAUACUUGUGUUGAGGUUUGCAACUCCCGUAGCAUGCACGUAUGGUAACCGUUGUGUGACAAAUUUGAAGUAUGAGGUGUUCUUUGAUUGCCUUCCUUGUGAGUGGGGACGAGCGAUGGUCUUUUCCUACCAAUCUAUCCCCCUAGGAGCAUGUGCGUAGUGCUUGGUUUUGAUGACUUGUAGAUUUUUGAAAUAAGUAUGUGAGUUCUUUAUGACUAAUGUUGAGUGCAUGGAUUAUACGCACUCUCACCCUUCCAUCAUUGCUAGCCUCUUCGGUACCGUGCAUUGCCUUUUCUUACCUCAAGAUUUGGUGCAAACUCCGCCGGUGCAUCCAAACCCCGUGAUGUGAUACGCUCUUUCACACAUAAACCUCCUUAUAUCUUCCUCAAAACAGCCACCAUACCUACCUAUUAUGGCCUUUCCAUAGCCAUUACGAGAUAUAUCGCCAUGCAACUUUCAACCGUUUCGUUUUUUAAGACACGCUCCAUCAUUGUCAUAUUGCCUUGCAUGAUCAUGUAGUUUACAUCGUAUGUUUGGCAAAGCCGCCGCUCAUAAUUUUUAUACAUGUCACUCUUGAAUCAUUGCACAUCUCGGUACACUGCCGAAGGCAUUCAUAUAGAGUCAUAUUUUGUUCUAGUAUCGAGUUGUAAUUUUUGAGUUGUAAAUUAAUAGAAGUGUGAUGAUCAUCAUUAUUGAAGCAUUGUACCAUGAGGAAAUAAAUAAAGAGAGAAAGGCCAAAUAAAAAAGAGAAGGCCCAAAAAAAGGAAAAAAAUGAGAGAAAAAGAGAGAAGGGGCAAUGUUACUAUCCUUUUUCCACACUUGUGCUUCAAAGUAGCACCAUGAUCUUAAUAAUAGAGUCUCUUAUUUUGUCACUUUCAUAUACUAGUGGGAAUUUUCAUUAUAGAACUUGGCUUGUAUAUUCCAACAAUGGGCUUCCUCAAAAUGGGCUAGGUCUUCGUGAGCAAGCAAGUUGGAUGCACACCCACUUAGUUUCUUUUGUUGAGCUUUCGUACAUUUAUAACUCUAUUGCAUAUGUUGCAUGGAAAUCCCUACUCCUCGCAUUGACAUCAAUUGAUGGGCAUCUCCAUAGCCCGUUGAUUAGCUGCAUCAAUGUGAGACUUUCUCCCUUUUUGUCUUCUCCACACAACCUCCAUCAUCAUAUUCUAUUCCACCCAUAGUGCUAUGUCCAUGGCUCGCGUUCAUGUAUUGCGUGAAAGUUGAAAAAGUUUGAGAAUACUAAAGUAUAAAACAAUUGCUUGGCUUGUCAUCGGGUUGUGCAUGAUGGGGGCAUUUUGUGUGACGAAAAUGAAGCAUGGCCAAACUAUAUGAUUUUGUAGGGAUGAGCUUUCUUUUGCUAUGUUAUUUUCAGAAGACAUAAUUGCUUGGUAAGUAUGCUUGAAGUAUUAUUGUUUUUAUGUCAAUAUUAAACUUUUGUCUUGAAUCUUUUGGAUCUGAAUAUUCAUGCCACAAUAAAGAGAAUUAAAUUGAAAAUUAUAUUAGGUAGCAUUCCACGUCAAAAAUUCUGUUUUUAUCAUUUACCUACUCAAGGACGAGCAGGAAUUAAGCUUGGGGAUGCUUGAUACGUCUCCAACGUAUCUAUAUUUUUUGAUUGUUCCAUGCUAUUAUAUUAUCUGUUUUGGAUGUUUAAUGGGCUUUAAUAUUCACUUUUAUAUUAUGUUUGGGACUAACCUAUUAGCCAAAGGCCCAGUGCAAAUUGCUAUUUUUUUGCCUAAUUCAGUGUUUCGCAGAAAAGGAAUAUCAAAUGGAAUCCAAACGGAAUGAAACCUUCGUGAGGAUCUUUCUUGGAACAAACGCAACCCAGGAGACUUGGAGUACAAGUAUGGAAGUCCGCAAAGCUUCCAUGAGGCAGGGGUGCGCCUAGGGGGGUAAGCGCGCCCCCACCCUCGUGGGCCCCAUGAAGCUCCACCGACGUACUUCUUUCGCCUAUAUAUACCCAUGUACCCUAAAAACAUCCAGGAGAGCCACGAAAGCACUUUUCCACCGCCGCAACCUUCUGUACCCGUGAGAUCCCAUCUUGGGGCCUUUUCCGACGAUCUACCAGGGGGAUUCAAUCACGGAAGGCUUCUACAUCAACACCAUAGACUCUCUGAUGAUGUGUGAGUAGUUUACCACAGACCUUUGGGUCCAUAGUUAUUAGAUAGAUGGCUUCUUCUCUCUCUUUGGUUCUCAAUACAAAGUUCUCCUUGAUGUUCUUGGAGAUCUAUUCGAUGUAAUACUCUUUUGCGGUGUGUUUGCUGAGAUCCGAUGAAUUGUGGGUUAAUGAAUUUGAUUAUUUAUGAGUAUUAUUUGGUUCUUC